UCGGAUAUGGUGUAACGGCUAACAUUGCCACCUUUCAUGAUGCAUUCUCUGGCAAAUUUUUCGCGGCAGCUCGGGGUUCGAUUCCCCGUAUCCGAA
rnacentral:tRNA from 1 species